AUUGAACGCUGGCGGCAGGCCUAACACAUGCAAGUCGAGCGGAUGAAGGGAGCUUGCUCCUGGAUUCAGCGGCGGACGGGUGAGUAAUGCCUAGGAAUCUGCCUGGUAGUGGGGGAUAACGUCCGGAAACGGGCGCUAAUACCGCAUACGUCCUGAGGGAGAAAGUGGGGGAUCUUCGGACCUCACGCUAUCAGAUGAGCCUAGGUCGGAUUAGCUAGUUGGUGGGGUAAAGGCCUACCAAGGCGACGAUCCGUAACUGGUCUGAGAGGAUGAUCAGUCACACUGGAACUGAGACACGGUCCAGACUCCUACGGGAGGCAGCAGUGGGGAAUAUUGGACAAUGGGCGAAAGCCUGACCCAGCCAUGCCGCGUGUGUGAAGAAGGUCUUCGGAUUGUAAAGCACUUUAAGUUGGGAGGAAGGGCAGUAAGUUAAUAUCUUGCUGUUUUGACGUUACCAACAGAAUAAGCACCGGCUAACUUCGUG
rnacentral:rRNA from 1 species